rnacentral:tRNA from 1 species
GCUAGCUCAGUUGGUAGAGAAUGUGACUCUUAAUCUCAGGGUUGUGGGUUUGAGCCCCACAUUGCA